rnacentral:rRNA from 1 species
CUGGAGGUAUCAGAAGUGCGAAUGCUGACAUAAGUAACGAUAAAGCGGGUGAAAAGCCCGCUCGCCGGAAGACCAAGGGUUCCUGUCCAACGUUAAUCGGGGCAGGGUGAGUCGACCCCUAAGGCGAGGCCGAAAGGCGUAGUCGAUGGGAAACGGGUUAAUAUUCCCGUACUUGGUGUUACUGCGAAGGGGGGACGGAGAAGGCUAUGUUGGCCGGGCGACGGUUGUCCCGGUUUAAGCGUGUAGGUGUGUGUUCCAGGUAAAUCCGGUUCACUUUAACACUGAGGCGUGACGACGAGGCACUACGGUGCUGAAGCAACAAAUGCCCUGCUUCCAGGAAAAGCCUCUAAGCAUCAGGUAACAUCAAAUCGUACCCCAAACCGACACAGGUGGUCAGGUAGAGAAUACCAAGGCGCUUGAGAGAACUCGGGUGAAGGAACUAGGCAAAAUGGUGCCGUAACUUCGGGAGAAGGCACGCUGACACGUAGGUGAAGUGAUUUACUCAUGGAGCUGAAGUCAGUCGAAGAUACCAGCUGG